UACGGGGGGGGCAAGCGUUGUUCGGAAUUACUGGGCGUAAAGGGCGCGUAGGCGGCCUGCUAAGUCGGAUGUGAAAUCCCUCGGCUCAACCGAGGAACUGCAUCCGAUACUGGCGGGCUUGAAUCCGGGAGAGGGAUGUGGAAUUCCAGGUGUAGCGGUGAAAUGCGUAGAUAUCUGGAGGAGCACCGGUGGCGAAGGCGGCAUCCUGGACCGGUAUUGACGCUGAGGCGCGAAAGCUAGGGGAGCAAACGGG
rnacentral:rRNA from 1 species